rnacentral:pre_miRNA from 1 species
AAAGUACUCCCUCCGUUUCAAAUUACUCAUCGCAGAAAUGGAUGUAUCUAGAACUAAAAUACAUCUAGAUACAUCCAUACCCGCGACAAGUAAUUCGGAACGGAGGGAGUACACU